ACGGAGGAUGCAAGCGUUAUCCGGAUUUAUUGGGUUUAAAGGGUGCGUAGGCGGAAUAAUAAGUCAGUGGUGAAAUACCCCGGCUCAACCGGGGAACUGCCAUUGAUACUGUUAAUCUAGAGUACAUUUGAUGUGGGCGGAAUGUAGCAUGUAGCGGUGAAAUGCUUAGAUAUGCUACAGAACACCGAUUGCGAAGGCAGCUCACUAAACUGUAACUGACGCUGAGGCACGAAAGCGUGGGGAGCAAACAG
rnacentral:rRNA from 1 species